UACGAAGGGGGCUAGCGUUGCUCGGAAUUAUUGGGCGUAAAGCGCACGUAGGCGGCUUAGCAAGUCGGAAGUGAAAUCCCUCGGCUCAACCAAGGAAGUGCUUUCGAAACUGCUGAGCUUGAGUACUUAAGAGGAUCGCGGAAUUCCCGGUGUAGAGGUGAAAUGCGUAGAUAUCGAGAGGAACACCGGUGGCGAAGGCGGUUCUCUGGGCCUUACCUGACGCUGAGGAGCGAAAGCGUGGGGAGCGAACAGG
rnacentral:rRNA from 1 species